CUAUGACGUAGAUCCUGUGUGCUGGUCUGCGGCGUGGGGUUGGGACAGUCCCGUGAAAACCAAUAAAAUGAUCAGGCGUGGUUGGUGAGCGAAGGGUACGGACGGGGUAGCCGCCCUCUGGCCACGCUUCGGUCAGCACCCCGCGCUGCCUGGGCACAGCCGCCAGGGGGCGCGGUCCCCCACCAGCCGGUCGCCCGCGCUGCCAAGUGGCCAGAGUGGGACCUCUGCCCAGCGCAGUGGCAGCUGCUGUGCCUCGGGCUCCUAAGGCCAGCCGGGGAGGCUCCAGCGAUGCUGCUAGAAUUCGUGAACAAACCGUCCCUCCUGCUUUGCAGACGGAGCCCAGGACGACCCUGAGGGUUUAAGUUUUCCCUCACUGGACAUAAUUUCUUAUCCUCCACCGCUACGGAAAUUCUAGAGGACAGAAGCCAGGACGACUCUGGGCGUUAUUUGUAAAGCUCGGGUGCAUCUGAAGGCCUAAUAAUUAAACCUAGGCUUCUCGUGAGUUUGUUUUGGUGCUUUCAUCGACGAGAACUUUCUGUUGGUUACCGCUGCUCCUUUUCGGGUGUAGGGAGAAAAGAUUCCUACUUUUCAUUUUUAACUGACUACCUCACCCGCAAUAGUGACGCUUGAGAACACCUCAUAGAGUUACUGCAAAACUCACAUGUGCCGGGGGAGGGGCGCAUGUGAGGAAGAUGCCACAGUGUCUCCUGCGGUAUCUAAAUGGCAACACUGGAUUAUAUUUCUCUACACUGUGUGUGCUUGGAAUUACUGUUAAUGAAAUACUUAGAUACACAAGUGUCAAGUCAGCUGGGAGUGCUGGCAACCAUGUGAUCUCAGCUCUUGGGAGGUGGAGAAAGGAAGAUAAGUUCCAGAUAUACUGGGCUACAAGAGAGACCCUUUUAAAUUUUAAUUAAUAUUUUUUAAAGUAUGAACAUAGUAAAAGAUCAUGAAGACUUGACUGGCCAGUGAAUGAACAUGUAAAAUCGUGGUUCAAGGAAUUGUUACCACUCAUUAUCCUGUCUGAAUUUAUUUCACCCCAACUUCUAUAAUUGUAUAUGCACAUGACAUUGGGAAUCCAGCGCUGGUUGAGACCCUUUCAAAAGAUCAUUCCUUCGAGCCGGAUUCGAACCAGCGACCUAAGGAUUACUAUACAAACCUACAGUCCUCCGCUCUACCAACUGAGCUAUCGAAGGAAGAUACCUGUACAUUCUUUAAGGUUUAUAAACUAGCUGGUGGAUUUGUUGCAGUUCGACUGAUACAUUUUAAAAUAGAUUGUAAGGUGUGGGAGCCCGUUCUCAGGUUCCUCGUGGCUUUACCCAGCAUGUCCGCAUAGAGGAUGAUUAGGACCACGGGCCUGAGUGCAGGUGUCUGAGAUGGUCUGCACUUGGCUGUGCUGGGGGAGGAGGUCUUUUGCUCCACCCCUUGGCGUCUCUAUAAAAACCCUGGGGCAGAGACAGUCGGGGCAGUUGGAAUAGGUUCCAGGCCCUCUCGAGGCUAUCCUUUAUUUUCUAUCUGUUUAUCUCUGCAAUAUUCUCCGCAAUAAAUCCUUCUGUCUAAUA